CCGUUUGAUCCUGCCAGAGGUUACUGCUAUCGAGGUUCGACUAAGCCAUGGGAGUCGAAUGUGGCAAUACAUGGCGUACUGCUCAGUAACACGUGGACAACCUGCCCUUAGGACGGGUAUAAACCCGGGAGACUGGGUAUAAUUCCCGAUAGAUCUCGUCUGCUGGAAUGCAUCGAGAUCCAAAGCUCCGGCGCCUAAGGAUGGGUCUGCGGCCUAUCAGGUAGUAGUGGGUGUAGCGUACCUACUAGCCUACGACGGGUACGGGUUGUGAGAGCAAGAGCCCGGAGAUGGAUUCUGAGACACGAAUCCAGGCCCUACGGGGUGCAGCAGGCGCGAAAACUUUACAAUGCUGGGAACAGCGAUAGGGAACCUCGAGUGCCAGGUUACAAAUCUGGCUGUCGUGAUGCCUAAAAAGCAUUAUAUAGCAAGGCCGGGCAAGACCGGUCCAGCCGCCGCGGUAACACCGGCGGCUCGAGUGGUAACCGUUAUUAUUGGGUCUAAAGGGUCUGUAGCCGGCCGGAUAAGUCUCUUGGGAAAUCUGGCAGCUCAACUGUCAGGCUUUCAGGGGAUACUGUCUGGCUCGAGGCCGGGAGAGGUGAGAGGUACUUCAGGGGUAGGGGUGAAAUCUUGUAAUCCUUGAAGGACCACCAGUGGCGAAGGCGUCUCACCAGAACGGACCUGACGGCAAGGGACGAAAGCUAGGGGCACGAACCGGAUUAGAUACCCGGGUAGUCCUAGCCGUAAACGAUACUCGCUAGGUGUCGGCCACGGUGCGACCGUUGUCGGUGCCGUAGGGAAGCCGUGAAGCGAGCCACCUGGGAAGUACGGCCGCAAGGCUGAAACUUAAAGGAAUUGGCGGGAA
rnacentral:rRNA from 1 species